UCAAAUAAAUGCUAAUGAGUAGAAAUAUUUUAUAUUAUAGAUCAAGAAUCCAAAGAAGAACGAGGAAAAGAAAAAGUUGCGGAAUAGUCCCAAAAUUUCAAUAUCUUCUACAAAUUAGCCGGAUUGACUUGAAGUGAAGUGGGUAGAUCGGAUCAACACAACAAAGCACACUAUCCAGAUCAAUUCCGGUAGCUUUUGUUUUAUGUUUGAAGAUUUAUAUGGCAUGUAUAGAGUUUGAAUGAAUUGAAGUAAAGAUGUUAUAAACUAGUUAACAAUAUUUGUACUAAAA